rnacentral:rRNA from 1 species
CGGACGGGUGAGUAACACGUGGAUAACCUACCUAUAAGACUGGGAUAACUUCGGGAAACCGGAGCUAAUACCGGAUAAUAUAUUGAACCGCAUGGUUCAAUAGUGAAAGACGGUUUUGCUGUCACUUAUAGAUGGAUCCGCGCCGCAUUAGCUAGUUGGUAAGGUAACGGCUUACAAGGCAGCGAUGCGUAGCCGACCUGAGAGGGUGAUCGGCCACACUGGAACUGAGACACGGUCCAGACUCCUACGGGAGGCAGCAGGU